AACGAACGCUGGCGGCAUGCCUAACACAUGCAAGUCGAACGAGCUCUUCGGAGCUAGUGGCGCACGGGUGCGUAACGCGUGGGAAUCUGCCCUUGGGUUCGGGAUAACAGUUGGAAACGACUGCUAAUACCGAAUGAUGACUUCGGUCCAAAGAUUUAUCGCCCAGGGAUGAGCCCGCGUCGGAUUAGCUAGUUGGUGGGAAAGCCGUAACCAGCGACGAUCCGUAGCUGGUCUGAGAGGAUGAUCAGCCACACUGGGACUGAGACACGGCCCA
rnacentral:rRNA from 1 species